UCAGGAUGAACGCUGGCGGCGUGCCUAACACAUGCAAGUCGAGCGAUUUACUUCUGUAAAGAGCGGCGGACGGGUGAGUAACGCGUGGGUAACCUGCCCUGUACACACGGAUAACAUACCGAAAGGUAUGCUAAUACGAGAUAAUAUACUUUUAUCGCAUGGUAGAAGUAUCAAAGCUUUUGCGGUACAGGAUGGACCCGCGUCUGAUUAGCUAGUUGGUAAGGUAACGGCUUACCAAGGCGACGAUCAGUAGCCGACCUGAGAGGGUGAUCGGCCACAUUGGAACUGAGACACGGUCCAAACUCCUACGGGAGGCAGCAGUGGGGAAUAUUGCACAAUGGGCGAAAGCCUGAUGCAGCAACGCCGCGUGAGCGAUGAAGGCCUUCGGGUCGUAAAGCUCUGUCCUCAAGGAAGAUAAUGACGGUACUUGAGGAGGAAGCCCCGGCUAACUACGUGCCAGCAGCCGCGGUAAUACGUAGGGGGCUAGCGUUAUCCGGAAUUACUGGGCGUAAAGGGUGCGUAGGUGGUUUCUUAAGUCAGAGGUGAAAGGCUACGGCUCAACCGUAGUAAGCCUUUGAAACUGGGAAACUUGAGUGCAGGAGAGGAGAGUGGAAUUCCUAGUGUAGCGGUGAAAUGCGUAGAUAUUAGGAGGAACACCAGUUGCGAAGGCGGCUCUCUGGACUGUAACUGACACUGAGGCACGAAAGCGUGGGGAGCAAACAGGAUUAGAUACCCUGGUAGUCCACGCCGUAAACGAUGAGUACUAGCUGUCGGAGGUUACCCCCUUCGGUGGCGCAGCUAACGCAUUAAGUACUCCGCCUGGGAAGUACGCUCGCAAGAGUGAAACUCAAAGGAAUUGACG
rnacentral:rRNA from 1 species